UUACAGUUUCUUUUUUAUCUCAGGAUAUUUAAGAUCUACUCCCUUAGCAACAUUUAAGUGUAUGAUACAGUAUUGAUUAACUAUAGUCACCAUGCUGUACAUUAGAUCCCCAGA